UUUGUACUUCCUCCGAUCCAAAUUAAUUGGCGCUGCUUUGUCUAGAUAUGCAUAUACUUAUUCGCGUUUUAAUAUGUAGGUAUAUGCUUAUCUAGACAAAAUUGCCUCAAUUAAUUUGGAUUAGAGGAAUAAUAAA
rnacentral:pre_miRNA from 1 species